rnacentral:rRNA from 1 species
GACGAGCGCUGGCGGCGUGCUUAACACAUGCAAGUCGAACGUGAUUUUUGUGGAAAUUCUUUCGGGAAUGGAAAUGAAAUGAAAGUGGCGAACGGGUGAGUAACACGUGAGCAACCUACCUUACACAGGGGGAUAGCCGUUGGAAACGACGAUUAAUACCGCAUGAGACCACAGAAUCGCAUGAUAUAGGGGUCAAAGAUUUAUCGGUGUAAGAAGGGCUCGCGUCUGAUUAGCUAGUUGGAAGGGUAAAGGCCUACCAAGGCGACGAUCGGUAGCCGGUCUGAGAGGAUGAACGGCCACAUUGGAACUGAGACACGGUCCAAACUCCUACGGGAGGCAGCAGUGGGGAAUAUUGCACAAUGGGGGGAACCCUGAUGCAGCGACGCCGCGUGAGCGAAGAAGGUUUUCGAAUCGUAAAGCUCUGUCCUAUGAGAAGAUAAUGACGGUAUCAUAGGAGGAAGCCCCGGCUAAAUACGUG